rnacentral:rRNA from 1 species
AUUGAACGCUGGCGGCAUGCUUUACACAUGCAAGUCGAACGGCAGCGCGGGCUUCGGCCUGGCGGCGAGUGGCGAACGGGUGAGUAAUGCAUCGGAACGUGCCCAGUAGUGGGGGAUAGCCCGGCGAAAGCCGGAUUAAUACCGCAUACGACCUGAGGGUGAAAGCGGGGGACCGAAAGGCCUCGCUCUAUUGGAGCGGCCGAUGUCGGAUUAGCCAGUUGGUGGGGUAAAGGCUUACCAAGGCGACGACCCGUAGCUGGUCUGAGAGGACGACCAGCCACACUGGGACUGAGACACGGCCCAGACUCCUACGGGAGGCAGCAGUGGGGAAUUUUGGACAAAGGGGGCAACCCUGAUCCAGCCAUGCCGCGUGCGGGAAGAAGGCCUUCGGGUUGUAAACCGCUUUUGUUCGGGAAGAAAUCCUCUGGGCUAAUACCCCGGGGGGAUGACGGUACCGGAAGAAUAAGCACCGGCUAACUACGUG